rnacentral:rRNA from 1 species
CUCUGACGACGCACGAAUGUGUACGUCAGCUUGCGACUUCGGCUGUCGAACGACAACCACCUACUCACCGCUUGCCCACUCAUUGUGCACUCAUUGGAGCGGGGACUAAAGCACCUAUUCGGACCCUUUGGCCCAGAUUAUGGCCUAUGCUGGUUAGGAACGUACUCCCAACCACCUUUCAAAAAGCUAGCCCCUACCCGAGCGCCGGAUAGUCGUACAACCACCCCAUUACCGGGUGGUUCCGCUGCUGCCCAUCGGCCGGACUCUCCCGCUGGCCGGUGUGACCCUGACUCUGUGCCGGGUCUGAGGAUGCCCUCCGUCGUCACCCCUUAUAACGUGUUACCCCCUUUGGGACUACGUCGCUGCGUCGCACGCCCUACUGCCGGAAGCCCAACAUUUGGCGAAAGUCGUCCCUUCUUCGCUUUCACUGCCAUGGAGCAGAAGAAGUACCGACUAAACUACGUGCCAGCAACCCCCGGUAAUACGUAGGGUACGAGCGUUGUCCGGAAUUAUUUGGGCGUAAAGAGCUCGUGGGUGGUUGGUCACGUCUGCUGUGGAAACGCAACGCUUAACGUUGCGCGUGCAGUGGGUACGGGCUGACUAGAGUGCAGUAGGGGAGUCUGGAAUUCCUGGUGUAGCGGUGAAAUGCGCAGAUAUCAGGAGGAACACCGGUGGCGAAGGCGGGACUCUGGGCUGUAACUGACACUGAGGAGCGAAAGCAUGGGGAGCGAACAGGAUUAGAUACCCUGGUAGUCCAUGCCGUAAACGUUGGGCACUAGGUGUGGGGGACAUUCCACGUUCUCCGCGCGGCAUCGAUUGCGUAAUUCACGGGGCGGACCCCUCAUGCCAGCGUUCCGAUUUUGAGUUUCCUUAACUGCCCCCGGGCGUGUUCGCCGCCUCGUACGCCUAAUUAAGCUACGUUGCGCUUCUUGGAAUGGUUCCGAACUGUAUGUGACCUGGCAAGACCUUUGUCAAGAAGAGAAACCUCGACCACAUGUCCACACGUACACAGCAGUCGAGCACAGACC